GACGAACGCUGGCGGCGUGCUUAACACAUGCAAGUCGAACGGAAAGGCCCUGCUUGCAGGGUACUCGAGUGGCGAACGGGUGAGUAACACGUGGGUGAUCUGCCCUGCACUUCGGGAUAAGCCUGGGAAACUGGGUCUAAUACCGGAUAGGAGCCAUUUUUAGUGUGAUGGUUGGAAAGUUUUUUCGGUGUAGGAUGAGCUCGCGGCCUAUCAGCUUGUUGGUGGGGUAAUGGCCUACCAAGGCGGCGACGGGUAGCCGGCCUGAGAGGGUGGACGGCCACAUUGGGACUGAGAUACGGCCCAGACUCCUACGGGAGGCAGCAGUGGGGAAUAUUGCACAAGGGGCGCAAGCCUGAUGCAGCGACGCCGCGUGGGGGAGGACGGCCUUCGGGUUGUAAACUCCUUUCGCUAGGGACGAAGCUUUUUGUGACGGUACCUAGAUAAGAAGCACCGGCUAACUACGUG
rnacentral:rRNA from 1 species